rnacentral:ncRNA from 1 species
UUUAUACCGGGACAAUAAUCCAAUUUACCAGGAAAGGAAUAGUUGAUGCAGAUAUCUGGUUAAUGCGGCUAGCUGAAAAGCUAUCGCCGCGACGCUACCAUCUGUUGGGAUAUGGCUGAACACGUGUAAGCCAAAAUCCGCGCUGUCUAUGCAGUGUUUCAUCCCCUCAUUUGUCCCUUGCAUCACCUUCUUGUUGCCCCGAGCACAACAUCUGAGCAAAGCCCUCGGCAUCACGCGGUUGCCGACAAUCGCAAUUUCCCGCAGUUAGAGCUCUACAUCCAUUGCAGACGAGUUUGGCGCAACCAGGUAUUGAAAGUGCAAGAGUAGGCUUGUCAUACGAACCACUAACAUUCAGCCUGCAUCAUACGAUUU